CUGGGAACAACCUGAACACUUUUGUUAAUAUUGAACUAUAUAAUGUUAUGAGUUCAAUAUUAACAAAAGUGUUCAGGUUGUUCCCAG